GAGUUUGAUCGUGGCUCAGGACGAACGCUGGCGGCGUGCUUAACACAUGCAAGUCGAACGGUAAGGCUCCAGCUUGCUGGGGUACACGAGUGGCGAACGGGUGAGUAACACGUGGGUGACCUGCCCUGCACUUCGGGGAUAAGCCUGGGAAACUGGGUCUAAUACCGGAUAGGACCGCACCGUGAGGGUGUGGUGGAAAGUUUUUUCGGUGUGGGAUGGGCCCGCGGCCUAUCAGCUUGUUGGUGGGGUAAUGGCCUACCAAGGCGGCGACGGGUAGCCGGCCUGAGAGGGUGGACGGCCACAUUGGGACUGAGACACGGCCCAGACUCCUACGGGAGGCAGCAGUGGGGAAUAUUGCACAAUGGGCGGAAGCCUGAUGCAGCGACGCCGCGUGGGGGAUGACGGCCUCGGUUGUAACGUA
rnacentral:rRNA from 1 species